GACGAACGCUGGCGGCGUGCUUAACACAUGCAAGUCGAACGGAAAGGCCCUGCUUUUGAGGUGUGCUCGAGUGGCGAACGGGUGAGUAACACGUGAGUAACCUGCCCUUGACUUUGGGAUAACUUCAGGAAACUGGGGCUAAUACCGGAUAGGAGCUCCUGCUGCAUGGUGGGGGUUGGAAAGUUUCGGCGGUUGGGGAUGGACUCGCGGCUUAUCAGCUUGUUGGUGGGGUAGUGGCUUACCAAGGCUUUGACGGAUAGCCGGCCUGAGAGGGGGAACGGCCACCUGGGGACUGCGGUACGGCGCAGACGCCAACGGGCGGCAGCGGGGGGGAGUCUGGCAGAGUGGGGGCAAGCGAGUGAUGACAACCCCGGGUGCGGAAUAAUGGCUUAUGGGGGGUAAACAGAUGUGGCCGGUAACGAGGAGAGAUUGACGGUAACGGGUAAAAAAGCCACGGCUAACUACGUG
rnacentral:rRNA from 1 species